GGUUGUAUAGUGUAGCGGUUAUCACAUCGGAUUCUGAUUCUGUCUUCAAUUGAUGGCUUCGGCCCUUCCGGGAACCCCGGUUCGAUUCCGGGUACGACCU